UGUGUUGUUGACGUUACGUCAGUCUGUGCCGUAACCAUAGUCACUCUGUACCACAUCCUGUUUCUAGUUUAGUUUUAGCGAAGAUUUUCUUUGUUACUUUGAUUAUUUGGUUUUUGGACUGUUCAGUUUGCGGUUUUUCAAAUAAAAUAUAAUUUUUUUUCAGCUUCCUGGAGUCGUGCCUUGCGUCCCAGAUUCCCUGCACUUAGCUCUUGAACGGCAGUAGUUGCCCCGCAGAUGACCAAUCCCAUAAAGGAGAUAAAAUAGAUUUUACAGUGAAGCAAUGUUAAGCAAGCAAGCCACCAAGAGGAAAGAAACCUUAUAUGGAUUUUUCCAAAGAAGCAUUCCAUUAUCCAAAGCAAUGAAACUAUCUUACCUCCCAGCGUGGCCGAGAUGAGAAUGUGAGUCCCAUAUUUUUUAAUGAUGGUGUGGAUGAACUGCUGCGUGGUGGGUCUGCGGCCCAGGAGGC